GAAUAAAGAGGGCAAUCUGUCUCUAAUGUCUGUCACCCCAUUGAUCACCAGGGUUGAUUUGGCUGAUUCUACUGACUAGGUUGGUCAGCAGACUAGGUUGGUGUUGGUAUCUACCUCCUUCACUGUUUAUGUGUGUUUCUUCCAAAGACGCAGGUGUAGUAGUCAAAAGGAUGGCCAUUCUUCAGCCAAGGGUAUAUAAGUAGCUGUACUCUCCUGUUAGAACCUCCAAGCAACCUUCAAAAAAAAAUAGAGACAGGCAUGGUGUCUCUCACAACUGCAAUUCCAGAACUCAGGAGGCUGAGGCAGAAUGGUUGCCACUAGCC
rnacentral:snRNA from 1 species